rnacentral:rRNA from 1 species
AACGAACGCUGGCGGCAGGCCUAACACAUGCAAGUCGAGCGAGGACUUCGGUUCUAGCGGCGGACGGGUGAGUAACGCGUGGGAAUGUGCCCUUCUCUACGGAAUAGCCCUGGGAAACUGGGAGUAAUACCGUAUACGCCCUAUUGGGGAAAGAUUUAUCGGAGAAGGAUCAGCCCGCGUUGGAUUAGGUAGUUGGUGGGGUAAUGGCCUACCAAGCCGACGAUCCAUAGCUGGUUUGAGAGGACGAUCAGCCACACUGGGACUGAGACACGGCCCAGACUCCUACGGGAGGCAGCAGUGGGGAAUCUUAGACAAUGGGGGCAACCCUGAUCUAGCCAUGCCGCGUGAGUGAUGAAGGCCUUAGGGUUGUAAAGCUCUUUCAGCUGGGAAGAUAAUGACGGUACCAGCAGAAGAAGCCCCGGCUAACUCCGUG